AGUGAACGCUGGCGGUAGGCCCAACACAUGCAAGUCGAACGGCAGCACAGUAAGAGCUUGCUCUUACGGGUGGCGAGUGGCAGACGGGUGAGGAAUACAUCGGAAUCUACUUUUUCGUGGGGGAUAACGUAGGGAAACUUACGCUAAUACCGCAUACGACCUACGGGUGAAAGCAGGGGAUCUUCGGACCUUGCGCGAUUGAAUGAGCCGAUGUCGGAUUAGCUAGUUGGCGGGGUAAAGGCCCACCAAGGCGACGAUCCGUAGCUGGUCUGAGAGGAUGAUCAGCCACACUGGAACUGAGACACGGUCCAGACUCCUACGGGAGGCAGCAGUGGGGAAUAUUGGACAAUGGGCGCAAGCCUGAUCCAGCCAUACCGCGUGGGUGAAGAAGGCCUUCGGGUUGUAAAGCCCUUUUGUUGGGAAAGAAAAGCAGCAGGUUAAUACCCCGCUGUUCUGACGGUACCCAAAGAAUAAGCACCGGCUAACUUCGUG
rnacentral:rRNA from 1 species